rnacentral:rRNA from 1 species
GACGUACGUGGCGAGCGUUAUUCGGAAUUAUUGGGUGUAAAGGGCGUGUAGGCGGAGAUAUAAGUCCGAAGUUAAAGCACUAGGCUCAACCUAGGAAAGGCUUUGGAAACUGUAUCCCUAGAGUACGGGAUAGGAAGGUGGAAUUAUCAGUGUAGCGGUGGAAUGCGUAGAUAUUGAUAGGAACGCCAAUGACGAAGGUAACCUUCUGGACCGAUACUGACGCUGAGGCUCGAAAGCUAGGGGAGCAAACAGG